GCAAUCGCAAGAACCACACAGUUUCACACAAUCAGAGAACACUUUUUUUAAUCUAUUGUUUAUAAUCGAUUUAAAGAGGUUCUGAAGCUGCAGACGUUUAUCUUCACUGCUGUAAAUAAACGUACUGGAAAAUUUACUCACCAAAGAUAUGUCCUAUAUUUGAAUAAUGCUGAAUUUAUCAUAAAAGAACAAUAUGCCUAGGUUUUGCAAGAGGACCCCUGGGACCAGAAUCAGAAGAUGAUUUAUAAAUACCUCAUGCUAGCAAUGAAGAAUACUUAUGGAUGCUUCAGAAGAAAGUGAGAAAGAACCUCAAGUAGUUAAGCCAAUCCCAGAAGUUGUUUACAUGACCAUCAAUGUAGGAAACGUUCCGGUUGUAAAAGACUCGUGUGUCAGAAACCAGCAGUAGUUGUAAUAGGGCCACAGAAGAAAGUUUUCUAAAUUGGUUCAGAUGCCAUAGGCACUGUUAUGUGGCCAUAAAUCAAGGAGUCAAACAUUGUAUACCCUCAUGACAUUACCGUUUGUCUUCCAAAGUCAGUGACUCUUCGCUACAUUUCCCUUCAAUUUCCAAAGUGUUUUAUAAUUUUUUUGGUGAAUAAACGGAUUUUUAAACUA